GGCCUAACACAUGCAAGUCGAGCGGUAGAGAGAAGCUUGCUUCUCUUGAGAGCGGCGGACGGGUGAGUAAUACCUAGGAAUCUGCCUGAUAGUGGGGGAUAACGUUCGGAAACGGACGCUAAUACCGCAUACGUCCUACGGGAGAAAGCAGGGGACCUUCGGGCCUUGCGCUAUCAGAUGAGCCUAGGUCGGAUUAGCUAGUUGGUGAGGUAAUGGCUCACCAAGGCUACGAUCCGUAACUGGUCUGAGAGGAUGAUCAGUCACACUGGAACUGAGACACGGUCCAGACUCCUACGGGAGGCAGCAGUGGGGAAUAUUGGACAAUGGGCGAAAGCCUGAUCCAGCCAUGCCGCGUGUGUGAAGAAGGUCUUCGGAUUGUAAAGCACUUUAAGUUGGGAGGAAGGGCAGUUACCUAAUACGUGAUUGUCUUGACGUUACCGACAGAAUAAGCACCGGCUAACUCUGUGCCAGCAGCCGCGGUAAUACAGAGGGUGCAAGCGUUAAUCGGAAUUACUGGGCGUAAAGCGCGCGUAGGUGGUUUGUUAAGUUGAAUGUGAAAUCCCCGGGCUCAACCUGGGAACUGCAUCCAAAACUGGCAAGCUAGAGUAUGGUAGAGGGUAGUGGAAUUUCCUGUGUAGCGGUGAAAUGCGUAGAUAUAGGAAGGAACACCAGUGGCGAAGGCGACUACCUGGACUGAUACUGACACUGAGGUGCGAAAGC
rnacentral:rRNA from 1 species